CUUAUACUCCCUCCGUCCCAUAUUAAGUGACUCAAAUUUGUCCAAAUAUGGAUGUAUCUAUACCUAAAAAGCAUCUAGAUACAUGUAAUAUUUCGGCACUUAAUAUGGGACGGAGGGAGUAUUAU
rnacentral:pre_miRNA from 1 species